GACGAACGCUGGCGGCGUGCCUAAUACAUGCAAGUUGAGCGCUGAAGGUUGGUCCUUGUCCUGACUGGAUGAGCAGCGCACGGGUGAGUAACGCGUGGGGAAUCUGCCUUUGAGCGGGGGACAACACUUGGAAACGAAUGCUAAUACCGCAUAAAAACUUUAAACACAAGUUUUAAGUUUGAAAGAUGCAAUUGCGUCACUCAAAGAUGAUCCCGCGUUGUAUUAGCUAGUUGGUGAGGUAAAGGCUCACCAAGGCGAUGAUACAUAGCCGACCUGAGAGGGGGGUCGGCCACAAUGGGACUGAGACACGGCCCAAGCUCCUACGGGAAGCAGCAGUAGGGAAACUUCGGCCAAGGACGGAAGGCUGACCGAGCAACGCCGCGGGAGUGAAGAAGGGUUUCGGAUCGUAAAACUCUGUUGGUAGAGAAGAACGUUGGUGAGAGUGGAAAGCUCAUCAAGUGACGGUAACUACACAGAAAGGGACGGCUAACUACGUG
rnacentral:rRNA from 1 species